ACAUAUAUGGUGUAUGUUGCACAUAAAGUUUUGAUCUUUAUAAGUUAUGGUUAAAUUCCAUUUAUAUGUA
rnacentral:tRNA from 1 species